rnacentral:rRNA from 1 species
UGGGGAAUUUUGGACAAUGGGCGAAAGCCUGAUCCAGCAAUGCCGCGUGUGUGAAGAAGGCCUUCGGGUUGUAAAGCACUUUUGUCCGGAAAGAAAUCCUUGGCUCUAAUACAGUCGGGGGAUGACGGUACCGGGAAGAAUAAGCACCGGCUAACUACGUGCCAGCAGCCGCGGUAAUACGUAGGGUGCAAGCGUUAAUCGGAAUUACUGGGCGUAAAGCGUGCGCAGGCGGUUUGCUAAGACCGAUGUGAAAUCCCCGGGCUCAACCUGGGAACUGCAUUGGUGACUGGCAGGCUAGAGUAUGGCAGAGGGGGGUAGAAUUCCACGUGUAGCAGUGAAAUGCGUAGAGAUGUGGAGGAAUACCGAUGGCGAAGGCAGCCCCCUGGGCCAAUACUGACGCUCAUGCACGAAAGCGUGGGGAGCAAACAGGAUUAGAUACCCUGGUAGUCCACGCCCUAAACGAUGUCAACUAGUUGUUGGGGAUUCAUUUCCUAGUAACGUAGCUAACGCGUGAAGUUGACCGCCUGGGGAGUACGGUCGCAAGAUUAAAACUCAAAGGAAUUGACGGGGUCAUAGCUGUUUCCU